rnacentral:lncRNA from 1 species
GGGAUGUUCGGCAUGGCCGAGCACUCCGCUCACUGUCCAGAUGUCUCCUCCAUCUCCUGUGGGUGGCCAGA